rnacentral:lncRNA from 1 species
AUCACAUCAAGGGUGAUUUCACUAGCAUCAGUAGCCUGCAGAUCCACCUGAAUGCCAUUGAGCCCACUCUUGAAUUUUUGGUUUGAGGUGGCGUAAAGCAUCUUGCUCUUCACCUUGGCGGUGUCUGGGGACCUUGCAAUUCAGAAGUAACACAUCUCAUGGGUGAGCAGCUUCGCAGCAAGCACGGGUAAUAAGGAAUGCAAACAGGAGAGGAGUGCACAAGCAAUACCAUAGGAUAUAGAAGAUCCUACUCUUUUGGACAUCCUCUGCAGUAACAAAGUCGAAAUCAUAGAUGGCGUAUCGGCAGUCAUUUUCAGGUAGGCUGUUGGUGAAAUCCUCAUAGGUGGUCUCGCGGUUCCCAACCUGGUCCACCACAAUCUCCUUGAAGUUGUCGUUCAUCUUGAAAGUGAUGAAACGGUGCAGCCUCUUGGACUGCAGCUCGCCGAACUUCAGCAUGCACUCAUCAUUAACCCCGACUCCUGAUCUUGCGUUUGCCUGCGAGCACGAGCAACAUCAUGGUUAACAGGUAACACAACAUUAAUGUCAAUUCAAAGUACUACUGAAGUAGUAAUUCAAGAAAGGUGGUUGCUUCCACUCAUUUUUAUUUUUGCAUGGCAGAGCCAACUGCCCCCAGUAUCCUAAACCAGGCUGGAAUUGAACAAGUACAUAAACUACUAUAAUAGACACUUCAGGGUCCAUAGCCUUGAAUAUGGAGUGCUAAAAUCUCUGGAAACGAAUGGCAUUUCUCAUGAGACAACUCACAAGUAGAGUUUACUAAUGCUAGAGAUUCCAGCACGACCGCCCAGCUCAUGGUCAAUGGCAGUGCUAGUGUGCUACUGCUGCUACAGCCAAACAGUACAGAUCCACACCAGAACCAACAGGAUAGCACAACAGCUGGUUGCCCUUCGAUUCCGCAAGCUAAGUAGGUAGAUGUAUUGCAAUUAUACGAUCUAAUCAGGCGAUCAGACACAGAUCAGCUAAGAUUCCACACCAAGCCCAUCUCGCAUAACCUGGAUCUAACAAUUCGAUUUCACCCGGUAGUCCAUACAACCGCGGAUCCGAAGCGCCGCGCGCCACUCCCGGACCUCCAGCUAGAGCUAGACGAAACUCCCGACAUCCAAAUCUAAGAUCGCGGAAUCCCGUCAACCCGCCCCAACUUCGCUCCCAAUAGUUUCCCCAUCGCACACGAAACCGGGAAUUCCCUCCCGAGGAAAGCAUGAAACAACCGAGACAACCUCGAUCCCCCUCGAAUCCAACUAGAUCCGACGCCUCUAGCCACUACCCUACGCUACUGCCGUAUGAACAGAAACCCAAAAUCAACCGCGAAACAGACGCCCAGCACCGAUCUGCGGAAACCACAGCACGAGGAGCGCGGAGGGGAGGCGAGGGCUUACCAUCUCGGGCGAGUUCCGAAGCCGGGAGGCUGCGGCGGCGGAGGAGGAGGGAAUCCGCUGUGCGAGCGAGCGAGCGAGCGAAG